GAGUUUGAUCCUGGCUCAGAUUGAACGCUGGCGGCAGGCUUAACACAUGCAAGUCGAGCGGAGAUGAGGUGCUUGCACCUUAUCUUAGCGGCGGACGGGUGAGUAAUGCUUAGGAAUCUGCCUAUUAGUGGGGGACAACAUUCCGAAAGGAAUGCUAAUACCGCAUACGUCCUACGGGAGAAAGCAGGGGAUCUUCGGACCUUGCGCUAAUAGAUGAGCCUAAGUCGGAUUAGCUAGUUGGUGGGGUAAAGGCCUACCAAGGCGACGAUCUGUAGCGGGUCUGAGAGGAUGAUCCGCCACACUGGGACUGAGACACGGCCCAGACUCCUACGGGAGGCAGCAGUGGGGAAUAUUGGACAAUGGGGGGAACCCUGAUCCAGCCAUGCCGCGUGUGUGAAGAAGGCCUUAUGGUUGUAAAGCACUUUAAGCGAGGAGGAGGCUACUGAGACUAAUACUCUUGGAUAGUGGACGUUACUCGCAGAAUAAGCACCGGCUAACUCUGUGCCAGCAGCCGCGGUAAUACAGAGGGUGCGAGCGUUAAUCGGAUUUACUGGGCGUAAAGCGUGCGUAGGCGGCUUUUUAAGUCGGAUGUGAAAUCCCCGAGCUUAACUUGGGAAUUGCAUUCGAUACUGGGAAGCUAGAGUAUGGGAGAGGAUGGUAGAAUUCCAGGUGUAGCGGUGAAAUGCGUAGAGAUCUGGAGGAAUACCGAUGGCGAAGGCAGCCAUCUGGCCUAAUACUGACGCUGAGGUACGAAAGCAUGGGGAGCAAACAGGAUUAGAUACCCUGGUAGUCCAUGCCGUAAACGAUGUCUACUAGCCGUUGGGGCCUUUGAGGCUUUAGUGGCGCAGCUAACGCGAUAAGUAGACCGCCUGGGGAGUACGGUCGCAAGACUAAAACUCAAAUGAAUUGACGGGGGCCCGCACAAGCGGUGGAGCAUGUGGUUUAAUUCGAUGCAACGCGAAGAACCUUACCUGGCCUUGACAUACUAGAAACUUCCAGAGAUGGAUUGGUGCCUUCGGGAAUCUAGAUACAGGUGCUGCAUGGCUGUCGUCAGCUCGUGUCGUGAGAUGUUGGGUUAAGUCCCGCAACGAGCGCAACCCUUUUCCUUACUUGCCAGCAUUUCGGAUGGGAACUUUAAGGAUACUGCCAGUGACAAACUGGAGGAAGGCGGGGACGAC
rnacentral:rRNA from 1 species